rnacentral:rRNA from 1 species
ACGGGUGAGUAAUGUCUGGGGAUCUGCCCGAUAGAGGGGGAUAACCACUGGAAACGGUGGCUAAUACCGCAUAACGUCGCAAGACCAAAGAGGGGGACCUUCGGGCCUCUCACUAUCGGAUGAACCCAGAUGGGAUUAGCUAGUAGGCGGGGUAACGGCCCACCUAGGCGACGAUCCCUAGCUGGUCUGAGAGGAUGACCAGCCACACUGGAACUGAGACACGGUCCAGACUCCUACGGGAGGCAGCAGUGGGGAAUAUUGCACAAUGGGCGCAAGCCUGAUGCAGCCAUGCCGCGUGUAUGAAGAAGGCCUUCGGGUUGUAAAGUACUUUCAGCGGGGAGGAAGGCGAUGUGGUUAAUAACCUUGUCGAUUGACGUUACCCGCAGAAGAAGCACCGGCUAACUCCGUGCCAGCAGCCGCGGUAAUACGGAGGGUGCAAGCGUUAAUCGGAAUUACUGGGCGUAAAGCGCACGCAGGCGGUCUGUUAAGUCAGAUGUGAAAUCCCCGGGCUUAACCUGGGAACUGCAUUUGAAACUGGCAGGCUUGAGUCUCGCAGAGGGGGGUAGAAUUCCAGGUGUAGCG